CCUACGGGAGGCAGCAGUGAGGAAUAUUGGUCAAUGGACGAGAGUCUGAACCAGCCAAGUAGCGUGAAGGAUGACUGCCCUAUGGGUUGUAAACUUCUUUUAUACGGGAAUAAAAUGUUUCACGUGUGGGAUUUUGUAUGUACCAUAUGAAUAAGGAUCGGCUAACUCCGUGCCAGCAGCCGCGGUAAUACGGAGGAUCCGGGCGUUAUCCGGAUUUAUUGGGUUUAAAGGGAGCGUAGGUGGAUUGUUAAGUCAGUUGUGAAAGUUUGGGGCUCAACCGGAGAAUUGCAGUUGAAACUGGCGGUCUUGAGUACAGUAGAGGUGGGCGGAAUUCGUGGUGUAGCGGUGAAAUGCUUAGAUAUGACGAAGAACUCCGAUUGCGAAGGCAGCUUGCUGGAGUGCAACUGACGCUGAGGCUCGAAAGUGUGGGUAUCGAACAGGAUUAGAUACCCGUGUAGUC
rnacentral:rRNA from 1 species